rnacentral:tRNA from 1 species
GCCGGUGUAGCUCAGCUGGUAGAGCAACUGAUUCGUAAUCAGUAGGUCGUCGGUUCGACUCCGGCCACCGGCACCA